GCUGCGCCGUCCGCCUGGACCGCCGCGCCGUCCUACCUCAUCCUCGCCUCCCAAGGACCUCGGCAACCGGGGAAUGUUUAAUUUGAUCUCGCCUGCAACACCGUCGCUGUAGGGAAGUCGUCCAAUGAGAUCCGUGCGCAUCAGACCUGGCGGUGGCUCCUCUCCUCAGCCGGACCCAAAGCUGGAGAAGGCGCUGCUGGCUGUCCACUUCAUCGGCUACUUCACCCGGGAUGGCGUCGCAGGCAUAUCGUUGUCAAGUUGGUGUUAAAAUCAAUGUACGCAUAUUCUUAGAUCUGAUUAGGGUCGUCGAGGAGAAGAACGGUGGCCCGGACCACAUACACAUUAUGGAACGCAACUUGCGGACGAUGUGCGUGGAGAAGAGAUCCUGAGGAGGAGAGGAUAUUGGAUCUGAGUGCGCGAGGGAGAAGCAAAAGGAUAUUCAGAAAGUACAGUCUGCAGUAUAUACAUUGAAAUAUUGCCAAUCUCCCCGCUGCUUCUCACGAAGUAUCAAUCUCGGACUGAUUGCUCUCUUCUUGUGGUCUUACAAGACUUGAAAUAUUGGUAUGUCCCAUACAUUGUCUUAAUGCAUUAGUUUUGUUAUAUUUGCAGUGUGCACAUGACUCUUUCUUAUCUUUAUUUAUUAAUAACAAAUAAACAACAUUGUUUGUUAUCUUUACUUAUUAAUAAAAGUAAGUAGGAAUUCUGGAUAAUGACUUAUGAAUAACAAUAUGUAGAAAUUCUGAAUAAAAAAGUACAUGAGAAAUAUGGUAUCCACCUUAACAGAGCAAUAAUAAUUUUAGUUGCUGAGAGGUUGACGUUGAAAUUUUUAGAGAGCUAGACCCAUCUUGUAUGCCAACAUUGGUCUUUAGAUUAGUCAGUGUUGUGUUGCAGCAUAUGUUCGCUAUAGAAUAUGUUUAGGAUUUCUAUAGAAUUUGAUCUGCAGGAUUUUGAUACUAAUGUCUACAUCCUUAUAAAGAUGUUUCAUGUUUCUGAAAUGAAUUUUGUCUAUGUGAAGAGAAGAAAGAGUGGAUAGCAGUAGCAGGUCUUAAAUUUGCAAGCUUUUCUUCAAGCAAGUUAAUCAUAUGUACUAAAUGUUUGUCAAAUUAUAAUUAAAGGUGAAUGGUUCGUUA